UUGGUAGGGUAAAGGCCUACCAAGGCGACGAUGGGUAGCCGACCUGAGAGGGUGAUCGGCCACACUGGGACUGAGACACGGCCCAGACUCCUACGGGAGGCAGCAGUGGGGAAUAUUGCACAAUGGAGGGAACUCUGAUGCAGCAACGCCGCGUGAGUGAAGAAGGUUUUCGGAUCGUAAAACUCUGUCAUUGGGGAAGAAUAAAUGACGGUACCCAAUGAGGAAGCCCCGGCUAACUACGUGCCAGCAGCCGCGGUAAUACGUAGGGGGCGAGCGUUGUCCGGAAUUACUGGGCGUAAAGGGUACGUAGGCGGCUAUAUAAGUCAGGUGUGAAAUACCAGUGCUUAACACUGGAAUUGCAUUUGAAACUGUGUAGCUUGAGUGCAGGAGAGGAAAGUGGAAUUCCUAGUGUAGCGGUGAAAUGCGUAGAGAUUAGGAGGAACACCAGUGGCGAAGGCGACUUUCUGGACUGUAACUGACGCUGAGGUACGAAAGCGUGGGUAGCGAACAGGAUUAGAUACCCUGGUAGUCCACGCCGUAAACGAUGGAUACUAGGUGUAGGGGGUAUCGACCCCCCCUGU
rnacentral:rRNA from 1 species